GCUCCCGCGGCCGAUUGGUAGGGUCUGGAGGUGACGGAAAUUGCCGAAGGGACUCGGCCGAGGCGGCGGGUGAGCCAGCGAGUCUCGCGCGAGGCGGGGCGGGGUCUCGCGGUGCUGGCGCGAGGAGGCGGGUGCGUCCCGGAAGUGACGCGCCGUCGCCCUUGAGGCCCCGCGGGGUGGGUGCGGCGCCGCUCGGACCCCCGGGCCAGUCCCGGGUCGGGCAGGGAGCGGGGUCGUGCGUGUCCCCCGAGGCUGCCCCUUCCAACCACGCAGGAGGCGGCCUGUGCCGGCCCGGCCCCCGCGGCCGAUGGGAGCGGUGCGGGGCUGACAGCGCUGGAACCGGGGCGCCGUCACGGUUAUAACACGUGGGGCUACGUGCGUUCCACCGCCUUCGCUUUGUCAUGCACGGAGUUGCAUAAGAGGAGCCCAGGACGAAAUAGGCCCGAAGGACUUGGUGGACCCAGAUGAUUUUGGUUGUGGAAACAAAACAUAAUUGCUCUUUAUCUGUCUCUGGCACAGAAAAGCCAGAAUGCUCCACAUGGUACCUCACUGACCUGUGAUAUCCCAUCACUGCUUGAAAGAAUCUUGCUUCAGAUAAAUAAAAAAA